rnacentral:rRNA from 1 species
UGGGGAAUAUUGCACAAUGGGGGAAACCCUGAUGCAGCGACGCCGCGUGAACGAAGAAGGUCUUCGUAUCGUAAAGUUCUGUCCUAUGGGAAGAUAAUGACAGUACCAUAGAAGAAAGCUCCGGCUAAAUACGUGCCAGCAGCCGCGGUAAUACGUAUGGAGCGAGCGUUGUCCGGAAUUAUUGGGCGUAAAGGGUACGCAGGCGGUUUAAUAAGUCGAAUGUUAAAGAUCGGGGCUCAACCCCGUAAAGCAUUGGAAACUGAUAAACUUGAGUAGUGGAGAGGAAAGUGGAAUUCCUAGUGUAGUGGUGAAAUACGUAGAUAUUAGGAGGAAUACCAGUAGCGAAGGCGACUUUCUGGACACAAACUGACGCUGCGGUACGAAAGCGUGGGGAGCAAACAGG